ACCAGGUACCAUGGGAGCAGAAACAAAGGCCUGAGUAUGCUCUAUUAGGGGAGGCAAUAGUGGAGUGACGAAAGGGGUCAAUUCAGCAUUUCAAGUGAAAGAAUGAUGCUUGGAGGACCAACAGAUGCUGAGCAUGAGAAGGGUAGGAAGAGGAGAAGAGAAGAGAAGAGAAGAGAAGAGAAGAGAAGAGAAGAGAAGAGAAGAGAAGAGAAGAGAAGAGAAGAGAAGAGAGAACAGGCACAAAGAUUCAAUGGCAGGGGCUCUAUGUAGGUCUGCCUUGCUUGAACAUAAUGGUAGUGAUGCUGCUGGGCAUGUGGGCAUGGGUCUGGUCAGAAAGUGUUUGAUAGGCCAUGUAGGAAGUUUCCAUUUUCUCAGGCAGGAGAUAGGAACCACUGUAGAAUGUUGAGCUUGAAAAUGAUCCAAGGAGAUCUUUGUGAUGGAACUAUCAUUCUGAGAGCUGAAUGGAGGGUGAAUUGCAAGUAGGUGAGAUUAAAGACACAAAGUCAAGGGAGUGGUGGUGAUAAUCUGCAAAAGAGAAGACAAAGGCCAGAACCAAGACAACACCAAUUGCAGAGGGAAGAGAGCAAGAAUGCUAAAAGACUUGGCAUGUAAAAGGGCAGCAUCUGGUUGGUGAUGGAGCAAAUGUGGGGAUUCCAAAGAGGACCCAUAAUAAGAUUACAAAGUGGAGCCACCAUGUCAGAGUGUUGGUUAAGAUCACCUGGACCUGGCAACCUCUUGGAGAAGAAAUUCAGGAGGGGGAAGUCAGUAAUUACUUUCAUCUUAAAUCUCACAUGAUAACUGCCAUCAAACAGUAAGUGAUGCUGGAUAUAUGUAUAUUAAUAAAGAAGUUUGUGAGAAUUUA